CGGCGUGCCUAAUACAUGCAAGUCGAACGGUCUUUCUAUGGAAGCUUGCUUCCACUGAGAAGAUAGUGGCGAACGGGUGAGUAACACGUGGGUAACCUGCCCAUAAGAGGGGGGAUAACAUCCGGAAACGGGUGCUAAUACCGCAUAGUUUCUUGAUCGCAUGAUCGGGAAAGGAAAGACGGCCUUUGUGCUGUCGCUUAUGGAUGGACCCGCGGCGUAUUAGUUAGUUGGUGAGGUAACGGCUCACCAAGACGAUGAUACGUAGCCGACCUGAGAGGGUGAUCGGCCACAUUGGGACUGAGACACGGCCCAAACUCCUACGGGAGGCAGCAGUAGGGAAUCUUCCGCAAUGGACGAAAGUCUGACGGAGCAACGCCGCGUGAGUGAAGAAAAGGUUUUCGGAUCGUAAAACUCUGUUGUCAGAGAAGAACAAGUUGGAGAGUAACUGCUCCAGCCUUGACGGUAUCUGACCAGAAAGCCACGGCUAACUACGUGCCAGCCGCAGC
rnacentral:rRNA from 1 species